UUACCAACUUGACAUGACUUAUUUUCUUCGGACACAGGUGGUGCAUGGUUGUCGUCAGCUCGUGUCGUGAGAUGUUGGGUUAAGUCCCGCAACGAGCGCAACCCUAUCUUAGUAGCCAGCAAUGGGACUCUAGGAGACUGCCAGGGAUAACUGGAGGAAGGUGGGGAUGACGUCAAAUCAUCAUGCCCCUUAUGUUGGGCUACACACGUGCUACAAUGGGAUCAAGGGGCAAGUGAUCGGAGCAACCCCAAAAUUUCCCAGUUCGGAUUGUAGUCUGCAACUCGACUACAUGAAGUUGGAAUCGCUAGUAAUCGUGAUCAGAUGCACGGUGAAUACGUUCCCGGGCCUUGUACACACCGCCCGUCACACCACGGAAGUUGGAGGCCAAC
rnacentral:rRNA from 1 species